rnacentral:rRNA from 1 species
UGCAAGUCAGGAGAAUUCCCGACUUGUCGGGAUAGUAAACUGGCGAACGGGUGAGUAAUACGUAGGUGAUCUACCCUCGGGAUGGGGAUAACCUACCGAAAGGUGGGCUAAUACCGAAUAAUGUUCCGCUUUAAUCGAGCGGAAUGAAAGGUGGGGACCUUCGGGCCUACUGCCUGAGGAUGAGCCUGCGUCCCAUUAGCUAGUUGGUAAGGUAAUGGCUUACCAAGGCGACGAUGGGUAGCUGGUCUGAGAGGAUGAUCAGCCACACUGGAACUGAGACACGGUCCAGACUCCUACGGGAGGCAGCAGUAAGGAAUAUUGCUCAAUGGCCGAAAGGCUGAAGCAGCAACGCCGCGUGGAGGAAGAAUGGCUUUUGCUUGUAAACUCCUGUAUGAGGGGAAAAAAUCUCGCCUUUGGCGAGGAUGAUGGUACCCUCGGAGUAAGCCCCGGCUAACUACGUGCCAGCAGCCGCGGUAAUACGUAGGGGGCAAGCGUUGUCCGGAUUUAUUGGGUGUAAAGGGUGCUCAGGCGGAUUUGUAAGUCAGAGGUGAAAUCUCCCGGCUCAACCGGGAAACUGCCUUUGAUACUGCAAGCCUUGAGUUUGGAAGAGGAUGAUGGAAUAUCUGGUGUAGCAGUGAAAUGCGUAGAUAUCAGAUAG